AUUGAACGCUGGCGGCAGGCCUAACACAUGCAAGUCGAACGAGUGGCGGACGGGUGAGUAAUGUCUGGGAAACUGCCCGACGGAGGGGGAUAACUACUGGAAACGGUAGCUAAUAACGCAUACCAUCGGAUGUGCCCAGCUGGGAUUAGCUAGUGGGUGGGGUAACGGAUCACCUAGGCGAAGAUCCCUAGCGGGUCUGCGCGGAUGACCAGCCACACUGGAACGGAGACACGGUCCAGACUCCUACGGGAGGCAGCAGUGGGGAUUAUUGCACAAUGGGCGCAAGCCUGAUGCAGCCAUGCCGCGUGUAUGAAGAAGGCCUUCGGGUUGUAAAGGACUGUCAGCGAGGAGGCGUUACUCGCAGAAGAAGCACCGGCUAACUCCGUGCCAGCAGCCGCGGUAAUUC
rnacentral:rRNA from 1 species